UGGCUUGAGCCACGCAGGGAAUA
rnacentral:piRNA from 1 species